ACAUGCUUACAACAUAGUCUUAAUGCACCGGAUCCCAUUAAAACUUCGUAGUUAAUCGUGCUCAAGUUAGAGUAGUAUUGGGAUGGGUGACCACCUAGGAAGACUUGGUAUUUCACAUGCC
rfam:Picea glauca, whole genome shotgun sequence.